GACGAACGCUGGCGGCGUGCCUAAUACAUGCAAGUCGAACGCAGUGGGGACGGGGUAGUAACACGUGGGUAAUCUCCCAUAAGAGGGGAUAACACUUGGAAACAGGUGCUAAACCGAUACUGCUGGAUCUUCUCGCUGUGCAUGAGCUCGUUGGUGAGGUAACGGCUCACCAAUGCCACGAUGCAUAGCCGAUCUGGGAGUGUGAUCGGCCACACUGGGACUGAGACACGGCCCAGACUCCUACGGGAGGCAGCAGUAGGGAAUAUUCGGCAAUGGACGAAAGUCUGACCGAGCAACGCCGCGUGAGUGAAGAAGGUUUUCGGAUCGUAAAGCACUGUUGUUAGAGAAGCGGUAACUAAAGAGGAAGCCACGGCUAACUACGUGCCAGCAGCCGCGGUAAUUG
rnacentral:rRNA from 1 species